rnacentral:rRNA from 1 species
CCUACGGGUGGCAGCAGUGGGGAAUAUUGCACAAUGGGGGAAACCCUGAUGCAGCGACGCCGCGUGAGUGAAGAAGUAUUUCGGUAUGUAAAGCUCUAUCAGCAGGGAAGAAAUAAAGUCAUUCGGACUUUGGACGGUACCUGACUAAGAAGCCCCGGCUAACUACGUGCCAGCAGCCGCGGUAAUACGGAGGGGGCCAGGUGUAUCCGGAUUUACUGGGUGGAAAGGGGGCGUAGACGGCAGGGCAAGUCUGGAGUGAAAUGCCAUGGCGUAACCAUGGAACUGCUUUGGAAACUGUGCAGCUGGAGUGCAGGAGAGGUCAGCGGAAUUCCGAGUGUAGCGGUGAAAUGCGUAGAUAUUAGGAGGAACACCAGUGGCGAAGGCGGCUGACUGGCCUGUAACUGACGUUGAGGCUCGAAAGCGUGGGGAGCAAACAGGAUUAGAUACCCGUGUAGUC